rnacentral:tRNA from 1 species
AGUUAAUUACUUAAGAAAGUAACAUGUUUUGAAAGCAUAUAUAAGAGGUUAAAUUCCUCUAUUAACUU